rnacentral:rRNA from 1 species
UACGGGGGGGGCAAGCGUUGUUCGGAAUUACUGGGCGUAAAGGGCGCGUAGGCGGUCCUUCAAGUCAGGCGUGAAAGCCCCGGGCUCAACCUGGGAACCGCGCUUGAGACUGGCGGACUCGAGUUCGGGAGAGGAUGGUGGAAUUCCCAGUGUAGAGGUGAAAUUCGUAGAUAUUGGGAAGAACACCGAUGGCGAAGGCAGCCAUCUGGACCGACACUGACGCUGAGGCGCGAAAGCGUGGGGAGCAAACAGG